rnacentral:rRNA from 1 species
GGGUGCGAUUAUACCAGUGCUAAUGCUCCGGAUCCCAUCAGAACUCUGUAGUUAAGCGUCCCUUGGCGAGAGUAAUGCUAGGAUGGGUGACCUCCUGGAAAGUCCUCGUGUUGCACCCC